rnacentral:rRNA from 1 species
UACAGAGGGUGCGAGCGUUGUCCGGAAUCACUGGGCGUAAGGGCGCGUAGGUGGCGCGACAAGUCAGUGGUGAAAGUUCGACGCUCAACGUCGAAUCGGCCACUGAUACUGUUGGGCUUGAGCACUGUAGAGGCUAAUGGAAUUCCGGGUGUAGCGGUGGAAUGCGUAGAGAUCCGGAAGACACCGGUGGCGAAGGCGGUUACUGGGCA